GUCGACGAACUGAUUAGAAGCUUGCUUCUAUGACGUUAGCGGCGGACGGGUGAGUAACACGUGGGCAACCUGCCUGUAAGACUGGGAUAACUUCGGGAAACCGAAGCUAAUACCGGAUAGGAUCUUCUCCUUCAUGGGAGAUGAUUGAAAGAUGGUUUCGGCUAUCACUUACAGAUGGGCCCGCGGUGCAUUAGCUAGUUGGUGAGGUAACGGCUCACCAAGGCAACGAUGCAUAGCCGACCUGAGAGGGUGAUCGGCCACACUGGGACUGAGACACGGCCCAGACUCCUACGGGAGGCAGCAGUAGGGAAUCUUCCGCAAUGGACGAAAGUCUGACGGAGCAACGCCGCGUGAGUGAUGAAGGCUUUCGGGUCGUAAAACUCUGUUGUUAGGGAAGAACAAGUACAAGAGUAACUGCUUGUACCUUGACGGUACCUAACCAGAAAGCCACGGCUAACUACGUGCCAGCAGCCGCGGNUNNCNUAG
rnacentral:rRNA from 1 species